CCCAUUUGAUUUGCUCCUCCCUGACAGCUGCAGCUUCCUCAGCAAGAUGCCCAGUGCAAUGCCAGGCGGUGUCCAACUGCACCGCUCUGGGAAGAGGCAGCUUUUCAGACUGCCAGACAGAGCAGGGGGCAGGAGGAGUCACCGUAAAAUAAUUACAGGCCCAUUCCUCUCCUUCUAAGUGCCCCACUGCAGAAGAUAGGAAACAAGCUGCUAAAAGAUCCACUCUUUCACUCCCUGUUUUCCGGUCUCCUUCUCCAAGUUAUGCAUAGCUGAAAACCGCUUUAUCCUUAUACAAGCUUUUCAGAACAUUGCAGUAACAUCAAGAGUUACUUGCUGGUAUUUGCCAAGCCUUCAAUUGCAUUGCCAUACAGCCAGCUAGAAGAGAGUCCCACAGAAGGAUGCACCAAAAAGCAGCCAUCCCUGCAAGGAAAGGGGGCAGUGCUUGACAACUAGAGAGUCCUAGGGGCUCUAGAGAGAGCCCUGGGGAAACUUGGGUUAACGAUUCACAGGCAAAGCUCUGCCCUCGGAAGAAGAGCUUUAAAAUACCAUUAGACCUUUACCAGAGCAGACAGUCUUUGAUUAACAAGGUCUCAUCCAGAAGAAUGUUAGCUAUUAGACCCAUUAAUAACAGAGACCAAAGAUAA